CAAAUGAAUCAGCUAAAUACAAUAUUGUAUAUUCUGUCUUCAUUUUUCUAAGGAAAUAAGAAAUGGAUUAAUUGUUUGAGCCAUAAGAUUUGCUACCAUCAACUCCUAUUGAGAAACAGAAAAAUGGUGGACUUCUCGGUACAUGCUAUCAUAUCUGGGAAUGGCGAAGCUCCUUUUCGACCAGAUGACCAUGGAUUUCCGCCAUUAGUGCUUCCUUGCUAAUCUUCAGGGAAAUUUUUGUCAUUAGGGCUUUUAUUCUCAUCUGUCUUAUCAAAUUGAAGAUCCUUGUAGACCAUCCGUGGCACCACAAAAUUGGCAAUCCAGUAUGCAAAAAGAAGUAUAGCACUGUCAUUGAUGUAAGAAUGGACAUCACUGUUAAAAGAAAUUAUUUGCUGUUAAGAGAUUUAAUUUUAAGUAUAUGCCAUGACAAACCUUGUCUGAAGCAGGACUGCUAUGUCAGGGGAGGCGGCGAGCGGCACUGCAGCGAGAAAGGGGGAAGAAGGUAGAGCCCUGGUCGUAACAGAGAAUCUUUUCCAAUCUUGCUGAAGCCAGGCAGAUUUCUUACUGGAAAAACAAAAGAAUUUGGCCGGCUUAAUUUCUUGCAUAUAUCGACUCUCAGAUAGCGUUGGCGAUCGAAGUGAGUGACAAUCGAUGCACUUCACUUUGUGAUUAGGUUGAAUUUAGUUUUCUGUUCUACAGUUUGUGGCUAAUACCAAAAUUUGAGUGUCGUGUACUGAAUAUGGAUAAUGUUCUGGGAUAUGUCGCUGAACGACAGUUUUUCCAUUUUAUUGACGUGAUUUUUUUUAAGACCUCGACUCACUGGUUAAGG
rnacentral:lncRNA from 1 species